CCUACGGUGAGCAGCAGUGGGGAAUAUUGGACAAUGGGCGAAAGCCUGAUCCAGCCAUGCGGCGUGUGUGAAGAAGGCCUUCGGGUUGUAAAGCACUUUCAGUGGGGAAGAAAGCCUUGGGGCUAAUACCCUCGAGGAAGGACAUCACCCACAGAAGAAGCACCGGCUAACUCCGUGCCAGCAGCCGCGGUAAUACGGAGGGUGCGAGCGUUAAUCGGAAUUACUGGGCGUAAAGCGCGCGUAGGCGGUCUGAUAAGCCGGUUGUGAAAGCCCCGGGCUCAACCUGGGAACGGCAUCCGGAACUGUCAGGCUAGAGUGCAGGAGAGGAAGGUAGAAUUCCCGGUGUAGCGGUGAAAUGCGUAGAGAUCGGGAGGAAUACCAGUGGCGAAGGCGGCCUUCUGGACUGACACUGACGCUGAGGUGCGAAAGCGUGGGUAGCAAACAGGAUUAGAUACCCGAGUAGUC
rnacentral:rRNA from 1 species